GACGAACGCUGGCGGCGUGCUUAACACAUGCAAGUCGAGCGGAAAGGCCCUUUCGGGGGUACUCGAGCGGCGAACGGGUGAGUAACACGUGAGUAAUCUGCCCUUGGCUUUGGGAUAACUACCGGAAACGGUGGCUAAUACCGGAUACGACGUACUCAGGCAUCUGAUGUGCGUGGAAAGUUUUUUCGGCCAGGGAUGUGCUCGCGGCCUAUCAGCUUGUUGGUGGGGUAAUGGCCUACCAAGGCUUCGACGGGUAGCCGGCCUGAGAGGGUGACCGGCCACACUGGGACUGAGACGCGGCCCAGACUCCUACGGGAGGCAGCAGUGGGGAAUAUUGGACAAUGGGCGGAAGCCUGAUCCAGCAACGCCGCGUGAGGGAUGACGGCCUCGG
rnacentral:rRNA from 1 species